rnacentral:rRNA from 1 species
CCCAGACUCCUACGGGAGGCAGCAGUGGGGAAUAUUGCACAAUGGGGGAAACCCUGAUGCAGCGACGCCGCGUGAGUGAGGAAGUAUUUCGGUAUGUAAAGCUCUAUCAGCAGGGAAGAAAAUGACGGUACCUGACUAAGAAGCCCCGGCUAACUACGUGCCAGCAGCCGCGGUAAUACGUAGGGGGCAAGCGUUAUCCGGAUUUACUGGGUGUAGAGGGAGCGUAGACGGCUAAUCAAGUCAGAAGUGAAAACCUAGGGCUCAACCUUGGGACUGCUUUUGAAACUGAGUAGCUAGAGUGCAGGAGAGGUAAGCGGAAUUCCUAGUGUAGCGGUGAAAUGCGUAGAUAUUAGGAGGAACACCAGUGGCGAAGGCGGCUUACUGGACUGUAACUGACGUUGAGGCUCGAAAGCGUGGGGAGCAAACAGGAUUAGAUACCCGAGUACU